rnacentral:rRNA from 1 species
GACGAACGCUGGCGGCGUGCUUAACACAUGCAAGUCGAACGAAGAGCGAUGGAAGCUUGCUUCUAUCAAUCUUAGUGGCGAACGGGUGAGUAACGCGUAAUCAACCUGCCCUUCAGAGGGGGACAACAGUUGGAAACGACUGCUAAUACCGCAUACGAUCUAAUCUCGGCAUCGAGGAUAGAUGAAAGGUGGCCUCUACAUGUAAGCUAUCACUGAAGGAGGGGAUUGCGUCUGAUUAGCUAGUUGGAGGGGUAACGGCCCACCAAGGCGAUGAUCAGUAGCCGGUCUGAGAGGAUGAACGGCCACAUUGGGACUGAGACACGGCCCAGACUCCUACGGGAGGCAGCAGUGGGGAAUCUUCCGCAACGGACGAAAGUCUGACGGAGCAACGCCGCGUGAGCGAUGACGGCCUUCGGGUUGUAAAGCUCUGUUAAUCGGGACGAAAGGCCUUCUUGCGAAUAGUGAGAAGGAUUGACGGUACCGGAAUAGAAAGCCACGGCUAACUACGUG